rnacentral:lncRNA from 1 species
AUCACGUGUGAGACUAUACAGUAGACUAACGAUACUUUUGAUGAGUAUUAUUAAAAUGUAGGCUUUCUAAGCGUGUUUUAUGCUUUGUUUAUAGAAAAAAAAAGUAGCCUGAAGAUGAGAAUAGGUCUGGCAAAGUUUUAAUCUGAUGCUUCAUGGCCAUGGAAUACUGUUUCUUACUCUCUUUUUCUCUCAUUGGUGUCUCCAGAUAGUUAAAUUCACCUCUUUUUUUUUUUCCUAAUUUCAGGCGCUAAUGCACCUGCUGAUGUGGACAGGAUUCUGUCUUCACUACUCAAGUUAUGCAGCACCUUAGUUAUGGUUCCAUGUAAGUUCAGUACACCCUCUUGGGCAUUUGAUGGAUGCUAAUUGCAAGUAGUUAUUGAUAUAGGAGAUUAGUACCUUGCUUAUGUUCAACAUGAAGCACCACCUUGAUAUUUGUCUGUUUAUUUUUUUAAUUUUGUCAAUGGAUGUCAUGCUUUAUACUGUGGAUGAGAAGGCAAAGAACUUUAAAUUCAACCAAGGAUGGAUUGUGAAUCAGCAUGUUCCUUGGCUAACUAAAGUGAAUUUGAACAUUUGGUUUCAAGCUGAAUAAUCGCUUCUCUCCUCAUACCCUUGUGGGUGUUCUGCACCGGACCGCCUCUAUUUCUUCUUAGAUCUUUCUUUCUUCGUUGAAGGCACUCAUGGAGAAGGAGCUUCUCGAAUAGCCCGGACCUUAUUUUCUGUUGUUGAUUCUCGGUCAUGGUAAGCGCUUCCAAAUCCAGUGGUUGCCCCCCAUUAAAGUUGCUAGUUUCUGACCCAUGAGCUGCCAUAUCAGGGCGACGCUGGUGGUGAGAGUAAAGAUGCUGUGCGCAAUCAUCCAUCUGUUGGCAACCCUUUCGCAGAAGGAGCUUCCAUACCGACCAAGUAAUGGAGAGGUAAGAUUCCCUCAUAUACCUGAAGGAUGUAUGUAGGAACAGGGCCCCAUGCCUCACUCAUGCACUAGGCCCAUGCCCGAAGAUGGCUGAUGCAAGUUCAGGCUAAGCUCUCUCUCUCUCUCUCUCUCUCUCUCCUGAUGUGGUUCUGAAGCUCAAGUUUUGAGAUGACCAACCUUCACCGAGUUGCGAGCUAGCUCAGCAUCGUUUCAUUUAAUUACUGCACUCUGCUGCCUGUCUAAUAUGCACAGGCUGUGGGAAAUGACCUGCUCUUCCUCGGGGAUGCAUCAUACAAGGAGGAUCUGGCAUCGACCUCUGAUCUUGCGGCUCGAGACCUGGUGGAGAGGAUCGAGAGAGAGCCCAGCACGGUAAAAUCAAAAUCCGCUCUCUGCCCGUCUCUUCACCGCUGUCACUGUCUCCGUUCCAUGCCUUCCUGACGAAUUUUCUCCCCCCUCCCCCCAUCAAGGGUAUGCUCGGAAAACUGGCCCUCGAUGCAUGCAAUUGCCUGGCGAUAUCCUUCGAAGUAGGUCCCAUUUUUCGUAUCCCAUAGCAUCAGUAUCUUGAAGCGCGCGUCAUGCAGCCAGCUUGUCGUGCAGGCCAGCGAGGGGCUCUCGUCGAUGUGCUCCCGGCUGAUGAAGGUGGCUCGACCAUGUCUUCACCCCCAGGACAAGUACCUGCAGUCUACAAUAGCUUUCCUCAACGGUCGUCUUCCCGGGUCUACAAUGGGCGAGACUCUGUGAGAGAGCCAGCUUCAGGCUGGCUGUUGCUUCUCUCUUUUUUCGAGUCGGCAGAGAUUCUAUCGAGCAAGCGAUUCAUUUUUGUGAUUGAUGAUGUUCUAACUCUGCGCGGCUGCUGCUGUUGCUGCUGUUGCUGCCGCUGCUGCUGCUGCUGCUGCGGGGGUGGUUUCCAGCCAGCUACAGCCAGCCGUCUUCUUCACCCCGGCCCUCUCCAUGCUCUCCUUCAGCCGGGCGGCGGAGCCCCACAUCCCCACGCCGGCGUAGGUGUUCCACAGGACCGCGUACCUUCCGGCGUGCCCCGGCUGCAGCGCGAGCAGCCGCGCCCCGCCACCGCCGCCAGCGCGGCGUUCCCGUGCAGGCGGCAGGCUCCCAGCAGUGCCCCCCACACGGAGGCGUCCGCCGCGAAGGGCAUCCCCUCUAUGAACUCCGCCGCCUCGUCCAGCAGCCCCGCCCGCCCCAGAAGGUCCACCACACAGCCGCAGUGCUCCAUCGCCGGCGCGAUCCCGUGGUCGCGCGACAUCGACGCGAACAGCGCCAUGCCCGCGCCGACCAGGCGCGCACGCGCGCAGGCCGUCAGCACGGCGACGAAGGUAACCCCAUUGGGCCGCACCCCCUGCGCCGCCAUCGCGUCGAAGAGCCCCAGCGCUCGGGUCUCCUCCCCGUUGCAGGCCAGCGCCGAGACCAUCGCGUUCCAGGUGCAGACCUCCCUCUCCGCCACCGCCUCGAACACGCUGGCGGCGCAGCGGACCCGCCCGCGCUUCCCGUACAUGUCCACGAGAGCCGUGCCGAGGAAGGCGGUCAGCCGGACUCCGCGCCGGAGGAUGUAGCCGUGGAGCUGCUUCCCCGCUAUGAGGGGAAGCAGCCGAGAGCUGGCGCAUGCCGAGAGCGCGCAGACCAGCGUGGCCUCGUUGGGUCUCGGUGGUGGCGCCACUCCGGCUCCGCCCGCCGCCAUCUCCCGGAACAACCGGAUUGCCGCCUCGGGGAGCCCGUUCACCAGAAACCCGUUGAUCAGCGUCGUCCAGGAGACCACGUCCCGGAGGCGCACGCGGUCGAAGAUCCUCUUGGCGGAGCCGACGUCUCCGUUCUUGCAGAGCGAGUCCAGCAUGGCGUUGCAGGAGGCGACAUCCGGGCGGGGGUUCUCGUCGAACACCUUCCGGGCGGCGGUGACGUCCCCCGACUGCGCGUAGAGCUUCACCAUGCCGCUGUUGACGAAGUUGUCGGCCACGAGUCCGCGGCGAACGAGCUGGGCGUGGAGGACUCUGCCGUUGGAAACUCCCGGUGACGAGGUGAUCGACUUGACGAGGGGCGGGAAGGUGUAGACGUUGGGGUGGGUCUGCUGGGCGAGCAUCUGGGUGAACAGGCGGAGGGCGGUGCCGCCGCCGUCGGGCCGUCCCUCCCCGAGGAGCGACCCAGCGAUCAAGAUGUUGUACACGAACACGGGCACCCCUCCGUCUCCCCCAUCCGGCAACGGCGACGGAUGGAAGAAGAAGCCGGUGGUGACGAGGAGCGCGUGAACUUGGUCGAGCUGCGCCGGACGCUUCCGGUACUUGUAGAGGAGCCGCGCCAAAGCCUUGAGCGACGUCGACAUGCAGCCCCGCCGCCCCUCAGUCCGACACAGCACGAGGCCAUGAGAAGCCCAGGCGGCGCCGCCGUCCCAGUGGAAGACCCGGAGAGUAACGAGUCAGCCCGGGUUCUAUUCGGCGUAAACGGGCUGCUAGUUCCACGAGCCCACUAUGGGCAAAGCUGCAGCACCGGACCCCUUCCUCCGCUCUCCAAACCCCAUCAUAUGAAUAAUAAUAAUAAUAAUAAUAAUCGUAGUAGCAAACUUGACACGUUCAUGAAAAUAUGUCGACCCACGAUGGGAAAGCGGAAAGGUUGCAUUUUUUUUCAGCGUGUGGUGGUGCGAAAGUGUUAUUUUUAUCAAGAUACGGAUUCCGCACUGGGCACUCCGAAUUAAAAUAUUUCCCUUUUCAUCGCCCAGAGCUUUCGAGUGAUCUGGCGGCUCAUGUAGAACAUUGAUGGGGGAGAGAGGGGGCGGGCGCGGUCUGUCGCUGGAGCCCAGCGGCCGGCGGGGCGCGGAUCGGCCUGAGGUGGACUCGCGAACCACCACCCCGCCGGGCGGACCCCCCUGGCUCGGGAUCCCUCUCCGGAAAGAGGCCAUCCGACGGUGCACUCUUGGCCCGCUCAUCACCAUUUAUUUAAUGGCUUAGCCUUCUGGCCUUUUAGUCAGAGGCCCGCGUCGGUGCGUCGUCCACCCGGAAGGCGGCCCCAAGAAUUUUAUAUCUGUUCCGACCCUUCGGGACCGAACAAGAAAAAACUUAAUGCCCGAUAAAUAUCACGCUCAGAAACGAAAUUUAGGGGGCGAAAGGCUCAUUAUCUUUUAACAUAUGAGAUUAGGAAGUGGAAGGGGAAGCCCUCCCUCCUCAUGGCACAAAAUUUUUCAAAUAUUUUCUGCUGAAAAUUAGAUAAUUCGGAGGGGGGGUGAUAAACGAAAUAAGUGCUCGAUUGAAUGGGUGGUUGAUUGCUCGUGUUUUUUUCGACAUGGUGCUUCUUUUUAUGAUUAUAUAGCUGGAGACAUCUCACGUACGGUCGGUGCCCGUCGAUCUACGUGGUCACCCUGUCAUCUCGUCAAAGGAAAGUCAACCCAUCUCUCUCUCUAUCUCUAUCUCUAUCUCUGUCUCUCUAUCUAUCUUUCGCAGAAUACGGAGAGGAAGAGGCAGGAAAGGAAGAUACGGAGAUUCCUCUCCGGGAAGGGCACGUUUAUUUUGGAAGGUACGAGUCUUCGGCGGGUGAGGCGUGCCUUUCUCGGCGGGGGAGCUUCUUCGUCCACGGCCGGGGAGGUGGGGGGCGGUCUGCGGCGAUGAGAGUGACGGGCGGGGGUUCGCUCGUCAACAAACAUAUGGAAAGCACGCGAGGGACCGCGGGGGGAGCGUCGGUGAAGACGACGGCUUCUCGUAAACUGCUUCAUCUCUAUAAUGGAUGUAGAUUUUGCAACGGAGUUUAUAUGGCAACUCUUUCUUCUUUUAUCGCCGAAAGAGACAGACGGGGAGCUAGAGAGACGUGGGUUUUGAUUCACAUGGCGAUCUUUUUUAAUGGGUUCAAGGCAAACCACCCUCUCUCUCUCUCUCUCUCUCUCNNNNNNNNNNNNNNNNNNNNNNNNNNNNNNNNNNNNNNNNNNNNNNNNNNNNNNNNNNNNNNNNNNNNNNNNNNNNNNNNNNNNNNNNNNNNNNNNNNNNNNNNNNNNNNNNNNNNNNNNNNNNNNNNNNNNNNNNNNNNNNNNNNNNNNNNNNNNNNNNNNNNNNNNNNNNNNNNNNNNNNNNNNNNNNNNNNNNNNNNNNNNNNNNNNNNNNNNNNNNNNNNNNNNNNNNNNNNNNNNNNNNNNNNNNNNNNNNNNNNNNNNNNNNNNNNNNNNNNNNNNNNNNNNNNNNNNNNNNNNNNNNNNNNNNNNNNNNNNNNNNNNNNNNNNNNNNNNNNNNNNNNNNNNNNNNNNNNNNNNNNNNNNNNNNNNNNNNNNNNNNNNNNNNNNNNNNNNNNNNNNNNNNNNNNNNNNNNNNNNNNNNNNNNNNNNNNNNNNNNNNNNNNNNNNNNNNNNNNNNNNNNNNNNNNNNNNNNNNNNNNNNNNNNNNNNNNNNNNNNNNNNNNNNNNNNNNNNNNNNNNNNNNNNNNNNNNNNNNNNNNNNNNNNNNNNNNNNNNNNNACCUCCUCUCUCUCUCUCUCUCUCUCUCUCUCUCUCUCUCUCAAAAAUACAGGAUGGUGGAGGUGAGAUGGUCACCAUGCAGGAGGAGGAGUGGCCAGGGUGUCUACGAAUAGGCUCGAUGAGGAUCGGCGAACCGAUCGACGGGGUGGGGGGAACUGUUGCGGUGUCGCCGUCACGCCAAACAGAAGUGGCCGCGGAUUUGUCUGCUCGGACUUCGCCAUCUCCCCCCCGCAACCUCACACCGACGAGGAAACAAGAAGAAGAAGAAUAAGGAGAGCGAGUGAAGACAGAGACACAAAAUUACGUGAAUGUUUGGUGUGCCCCCCCCUCCUCUCUCUCUCUCUCUCCCUCCCUCCCUCCCUCCCUCCCUCCCUCCCUCUCCGUCUCAGAGCCUUCAAAAGCUGAAGGCGGGGAGGGUAGGACGACUGGGACUCCCCUGCUGAGCGCAGACAGCAGAACCCCUGCACCCUCUCGUGCUCCGCCUUGAGCAGGUAGGGUUCCCAAGCGUGGCGUGCCGGAGGUUAUGGGAGAGGCACGGUGGGCUUCUGCAAUGAUGACGAAGAGUUCGACGAGGCUGGCCGCCUGGAUCCUGCUCCUGCCGCUGGUCUACGCCGCGCUGCUCAACCUCAGCGUCUCGCCGCCGCACACCUGUACGUUACCAUCAAAACUCCGUCUUCCUCCGUUCUCUUCGCUCUUGCACAAUGAAUGAACUUAACUGAGACGUCGCCGUUUUCCCCUGCCGACGCGAAGGGAAGCUCCAGCUGCCGCCUUGGGUGCCGUUCAGCUUCUGGGCCAAAGACAGUGACCUGGAGCACGCGAAGAUGGCCAUGGCGAGGCUGCUGCCAGGUCUCCUCCUCCGCCAUUGAUACCAUCACGUAGUCAUCAUAGACCAGGACGAAGAGCGCAAGCAUGCAGAUUGAUGCAGAACCCUAAAUGGGCGGGUUCGCAUCCUCCUCAUGGCCCCCUCUCCUCCGAUGGUCGGGCCGUCCCUCCGGCGGCGGACGCCGGAAAGGCGGCCGCCGUUGGGCCUCUUCUUCGCACGUCCCCAUCGAAACCGACCGACCGAGCGAGCACUGACCAGAAAGAAUUCCCCACCUGGAGAGGAGGGCGACCGAGCCACCCGUUUCUUGCCUUCUCUCUCUAGGUCUAAAAGUAGAGAGAUUUUAAGGGGAAGCGGGCACGAGGUCUACGUGAGAAGAAAUGAGAGCGGGCCCGCCAAGUGUCUGCAUGACGAUGAGUUUGACUGCGACCUGAAAUCUUCCGACAGGACCCGCGCGCAGGGAGCUGAGCGAGAACCGUGUGGCCUGCGUCUCCGACCCCAGAUCCGACUUCUGCGUCACGACCGGCGGCGUUCGGAUCGCCGCCGGUCCCUCCCGCUCCCCCACCGUCUACCUCGCCGGAGGCCAGCAGCUCGCCGGCGGCCGGCGAACACUCCAGCCUUACCCGAGGAAGACCGACAAGACGGCGAUGUCGCGCACGGCGCCGGUCGAGAUCAUUGGCGGCGAGGCGGCGACGGUGCCGCCGCCCUGCGACGUGACCCACACCGCCCCCGCUGUCGUCUUCUCCACCGGCGGCUUCGCCGGCAACUUUUUCCACGACGUGAGCGAGGUGCUCAUCCCCCUGUUCCUCACCGCCGGGCAGCUACGCCACGUCCAACUCGUCGCCAGCGACUACGAAUCCUUCUGGGUGACAAGGUACCGCUGGAUCCUCGACUAUCUCGCCGGCGGCCCAGAGCAGGCGGGCGUCGUGGCAGCGGCCUCGCCGUCGUCCCCCGUCGAGCCCAUGGUGCACUGCUUCCCCGCGGCGGUGGUGGGCCUCAAGUACCACGGCCACCUCGCCUGCAACGCCACCGCGCCACCGGGCGGCGUCACCAUCUACGACUUCCGCCGCUUCCUCCGGGAGGCGCUGGCCCUCUCUCCCCCUCCUCCCAAUUCGCCGCCGCCGCCGGCCGAGGACCAGCGGCGGCCGCUGCUGGUGCUCCUCUCGCGGAGUACGUCGAGGGCGCUGCUGAACGAGGCAGCAGUGGCGGAGCUGGCGAGGGAGGUGGGGUUCCGCGUGGAGGUGGCGGCGCCGGAGGCCAUGGGCCGGCCGGAGGCGUUCUCCCGGGUGGUGGCGGGGGCGGCGGUGCUGGCGGGGGUGCACGGGGCGGGGCUGACGAACAUGGUGUUCCUGCGGGAGGGGGCAGUGGUGCUGCAGGUGGUGCCGUGGGGGCUGGACUGGUCGGCCAUGGCGUACUUCCGCGAGCCGGCGCAGGCGAUGGGGCUGCAGUACGUGGAGUACAAGGUGGCGGUGGAGGAGAGCACCCUCUCCGACGAGUACCCGCUGGACCACCCCGUGCUGACCGAUCCCUGGGCCAUCCACCGCCUCGGCUACAACGUCAGCGGCCCCAUCUACACCGACGGCCAGAAGGUCCGCCUGAACCUCACCAGGUUCAGGGAGUCCCUCCUCGAGGCCCUGCGGCGGCUCCCCCGCCCGGCUUGAAACUGCAAGGGGCGGAAGACGAACGAAGAAGACCAUGUUUUCCUUAUCGUAGGAGCUCAGUUAGUAAGGACCAGUUCGCUCAUCCUGCGGCGGCGGCGGCGGCGGCGGCGGCGGAGGGCUUCGGAGGAGGAAGGGAGAUCUCGAGCUCGUCGAGGGAGGGGGUGCCGCGGAUGGUGAGGCUGUGCUCGUUGGCGAGGUGGAGCAGGCAGAUGAAGGAGAGGUGUGGGGAGACGUCCUUGGCGUAGGCGCCGGCGCAGUUCUCCGAGAAGCAUCCCAGCACCUGCCUGAAGGACACGGCCGCGCCGUCCUCCACCCGCUGCUGCUGCUGCUGCUGCUGCUGCUGCUGCUGCUGCUGCUGCACACACAAAGAAUGGAGAGUUGUCACCUGUAAAACUUGGAGAAACGAAGAAUAAAGCACCACCAACUGCUUCAAAGACGAUCUUCGGGCCACCCGCCCUGAAGCCAUGAAUCCCCUUGAAACGCUCGUACGGUUGGUGAGGCAUGAAAUACAAACAAGACAGAAAGAAAGCUUGAUUUAACUCACCGUCUCCGCCGGCCUAUUAGAAUCUUUUAUAAUGCACCACAGUGUUUCUUUCAACGCGUGGACAUCCACUUUUUUGGAGGACUUGUCGUACUGAACCUCAAUCUUGUUCACCUGCAAACAUUUGAAGAUGGAACGUGGACACACAUAGAAAAGUGCCACAGACAGCCAACACCGAGGUGAGAUUCAUCCUAUGCCAAGGAAAAGACUACAAGAUCACAGCGAUGAGAAAGAUGAAGAAAUUUCUCUGAUCAACCAUGCUGGUACGUCAUUUUAAACCGCACCCAAUUAGCAAUUUUAUAAGUGGAAUGCUUAACCAAGGGCAUGACAUUAACCAAAAUUUACGAGAAAAAGAGAGGCCAAUCGGUGCCAUAUAUGGUCGAACUCAGUAUAAUUUUCAAAACUCCGUAAGUUGAACCCGGUUAUUCGUACCAUCUUCCCAAUAAAGUUUCCUUUCCUAUACUUAGACGGAAGCUUUGAUUCAUCUUGCAUGCUCAGGCAAAUAAACCAAGAUGCCUCAUAAAUAUAAGAGAAUAAGAGGCAAGAUCAAAGCAAAGUGAUGAAAGGCAACGCGACCGAACAAACCUGACGUGGCUGAGAGACAAGGCUUCCUGGUUCAUCUAAAUCAUUAAGCAUAUUCUCAUCAUCAUAGUAAUCCUUUGCAACACUCUCAUUGUCCCAAGAUGCCGUUGACUCAUAGGGCUGGUUCCGUUGCAACAAUUCGUCUAAAAAGAAAAAAGAUAACAGCUGGAUUGUCAGACAUUCGUCACUAACUGCGGACUAGUUCAUGCCUAAUAACAGAAUGGAAGAUAGUUUUAGUUCUGAAUAUCAGAAAAAACACGGAGACAAUGAAAAAAAAUAAUUACCGACAAGAAAGGCUACAAUAUGUAUGCACUAGACAAUUGUUAAAGAUUUGAUUGAUGACUACAUCAAUUUACCAAAGCAGUGAAGGGAGCAAUUUAGAACAAACAGAACCCACAUGUCGGCAGGGAGAUUGGUAACCAAUAUCAUAAAUUCAUGAAGAAUAUACUCAAAGGCGCAUUAGCAGUAAAGGUUUAUGCCGUUGACGGCUGGAAAAUAAAAAAUAUAAUCUCAAACAACAUCGUUUUCAUCAGAUAAGUUGGUUUCUUGAUGUGCACCAUUUGAACCAACAAAGGAUUCAUAAAGAUACACCAAUGAAAUGUCUCAGGAAAUGUAGGUUUACCGCAUCUAAUAAAACUUUAUAUUUUCAGAGUAUUUGAGGUAUUAAUAAUAGGCAGCAUCAGAACAAGACAUUUGAAAGCAGAGAAAGAAAACUCUGGUCCUGCCCGGCCGGACUUGGGCACUGUCCGGGUCCAGCCCAGAAAUUCCCCCACUGCUUCCGCCAGCACUCACCCCAACCUCUGAAAACCUCACACCGGUUCAGUUCUCAGGGUUCCAAAUCAGAUUCUGAGUCAGAGUCAACCGAUCAUUUAUAGAAAAUUUCUUGAAGGAGAGACCCAAUUACAGCGUCUGCAAUGUUACACAUGGAAGAACGAGUGCAAGAUUGUAUGAAGAUUCCUUUCGAGUAUCGAGAUAAUCUACUAAAAAAAAAACUUAUCUUUCUUUUAACUGAUUUACUAAUCGCACUAUUCAGCGAUAAUGAAGUUAAACGAUGAAGGAAGAAAUUACCUUUAAAAUUUGCAUCUGAAAUGCAAAGGGAAAGAAGGAACAAUUACUAUUCAUGGUCAAGCACCGCACAGCAUUUUCACAAAUGUUCAAGGUUUCCACUAGCUUGGUAGACGUGCUAUUAAUUUAUCAAAACAUUUAGCAACUGACAUUUAUCACCUAAACAUAAAAGAGAAAUAAACUGAGCCCAGAGUUAUAAAUAUAUCUUCAAUUGAAGUUCUCGUUGGUCAUAAACCAAAUCGUCCACCUUGACAAAGCUGUCACAUAAGCUACACGCCACUUAUCACCUGACAAAACCUGACGUGCAUAUUUAUCUGUUUGGCCAAUAUGUUUACCAUUCUGUAGCCACCCCGAAUCUAAGGAAAACAAAGCAUGAGAGCCAGAGUAAACCAAAUCAUAACGAUACCACAACUAGUAGACUACUACAAGUCACACCAUCAGAUCAUAGCAAUAAUCAGAUUGAAAGUGACUCAAUAGGAGGGGGAAAAUGAUAACGAAACAGUUAUUACGGAAUAAAGAAAGGUACAGGCAAAAGGAAAGGUAAAAGGUGGUUACUAUACUGACAAAAAUUAUACAUUGAUGUGGACUAAGAACGGAAGACGAGGACGUUAAAUCACAAUAGAAAAGUUUCAAUACACAUGAGCCUAGGAUUGAAGGGAAAUCCACUAGAAUGCUGCUUGCAGUAUUUUUGGAUUUAGAAAAUUAUCACGUGGGCAAGGUACCAAUACUUAUAUAUCAGUCCAUCAAGGCAUAAUAAAAUCACAUCUCUAAUCAAAUCAUGCCUACUUUUCCACACCUUUACGCCAAAUAAUACUGCAACUAAUGUAACUGUAUGAAUUCAUUAAAAAAUUCCAUGUGAAUCUUUUAAAAGUUAAAGAUUGUACAAUCAUGUACACGAGCCUAAAGGAAUAGAUUGUUUUACGUGACUAGGCGAAGUGGAGGGACUUGAAAUUUAUUAAGAGGGAAAAAAUGACGUUUGACCAGUCUUAUAUGUCACUAAAAAAAGUAAACGAAAUGAACCAACAUCAGCAGGAUUCUAUAAUCGGUAUUAUAAAUCAUAAAUUUUUAAAGAAUAGUUAACUUACCAGCAGAUUUCCUCAGCUUCUUUCCGAGGCACUGCACAGAUGAAGACAUUCGCUGUCAUUCAACACCAAACAGAGGCAGGAAUCCAAGAAUCAGCGGCACCAUGGCUUACCAAAACAUCAGGACGAAGUAGCAACUUGACAAGGUUCUGUGCUUGAUAAUGGCAAUCCUCUGGUAAUGUAAUACUACACGAACCUCUGUUCGGAGGAAGCAGUAUUGACCUUCGACUUCUAGGAGGAGCAAAGAUGUCGGAAAUCUCCUUAUCAAGUGCCUUAGUAAAAUCAAUAUCAUACGCUUCUUGUUUUUUUUUCUUUACGUUCCUCUUGAUUAAAAAUGAUUCACCAUCAGAAGCAGGAAUCUCAUCUGGAACUACAAAAUUAAUACUGAGAUGAAUGUCUGUAUACACAUAAUCAGAAAAUAGUGAGAUUUUUCAUGCAUAACUUCAGUUCUACCUUUAAUCUUCCGAUACUUCCAGUGAUCAGGACCAGCCCAUGCAUUUGUUUUCGGUGCAAAGCCUAGACCUAGAGCUAAAAAUCCAGCGAUCCUUUCAAAUUUAGGGUCUGCAUCCAGCUCAUGUAAAGUGAAGCUAUUGUUUUCCUGUAGGAAGAAGAGUAUACUUGAAAUACAUGAAUUCAUAAUAAAUAAAUAAAAGUAAACCAUAGAAAAUGACAGUGCGGGUGUACCUCUGGAUCGCCAGCAAAAUUUGCAGCCGUGUAGGAUGAACAUUCAUCGACCACACUACCCUGUUCAUCAUUAUCAAAGCCACAAGCCUCACAGUCAUCAAAUGUGUUACUCUCAAUCUCAUUUUUAAUACUCUCGAACCCAUUCUCAGUACUCUCAAUCCCCUUUUCGUUACCCUCAAAGCCAUGCUUAUUACUCUCUCCCACAUCAUCUCGCCUGUCUGUUCUCUGUGUUGCCACAUAAAUAUCUGUUGGCCUCCGAUUAUCUUCGUCAAACAGACUUAUGAUCUCCCUUAAGGUUGGUGAAAUAUCCUUCUGCAUAGCUAUCGAUGUCAUCAUCUGUGCAAUGCAAUCUAUGAAAAAGGAAUAAAGACACAUGAAAUCCCGACAUAAUCUUAAAUUGGACAUAGAAACAAAACUUCGGCAUUAAGAAAAACGAUGCAUACCUCUGGCGAAGGAAAGGUCAAUGAAGUCUGACUUGUCGGCCUGUAACUUGGAGCACGUAACAUUUGUGGGCGACUCCAAUGAAUCAAAAAGUACUUGACAGUCACCAUAGACCCCAAGGUUAUUCAACAGGAGACCUUUAGCUCCACCUUCAUCAAACUUUGCAGAUGUUUGAUGAUAAAGAGGAUCAACGGUGAAGGCCACUGGAAUUUUAGAUGUAUCAUCAAAAAACUUAACAAAAUAGGAGAGUUGCUUCUAUAAAGAGAGAUGGAUAAGUUACCAUCAAAUUUCUUCACGUUAAGAGCAUCAAAUGAAGAUUCCAACGUCGACAAAGGUGACAUCUGCAUGCAACCGCAUCUGAUAUAGGGACCAAACAUUGCACAGAGCAAAUGAAUCAUUCUGAAUGCUCUAAAAAAACACUCACCUUUCUGUCUGUUCCUUUCUUUUGGUUACCUUCCUGACUGAUCCCCAUACUGUCAACUUCUGGUAUGUUUUCUGAACAGAGGUUUUUUAAUAUUAUCAGCUUCCAAGGUACAAAACAGAAAAUAUUGGCCUAAAAUAAAAAAAUCCAUAAGCUUUUACAUAUGGGUAAAACACAAGGAACAACAUAAAACAAUUCAUGAAACAAAAGUUAUAAUUAUGCACAACAUUUUUUUCUCAGAAAACCUGUGUAAUACGUAGCCAUCACUUAUGUAUAAAAAAUUCUGAAGUAUCAUUAAAUUUCGUUAUUAAUGACAAACGAAUGACCGCAGGCAUGUCUUCUCAUAGACAGUUUCAACAUGUAGCAUGAGUCAAUGAAUAUUAUCACCUAAGUUUUCAGAAGGCAUAAUCCUAAAUUGACAUAACAGGGCAUGUGAUAUUAUCAUCAUCUAAUGUUUUUUACAUUUGAAUGAUAUCAAGUUUACUGAAGCCAACAUCUUACAUUGGAAUAAGCAGUCGCACAAAAUUCUCCUCAACGUAAUCUAGAAUGAAACAGCAUCGAGAUUACAUGGCAGUCAGGCUUCAUCUUUUCCUUUAAGAACCUUAAGAAACAACUAAAUCACUAGAAAAGCAGCCUGCUUCAUCCAGUCAGAAAGUAGUCCAGACUCCCAUGUGGAGACUACCUGUUUUAGCAAAACCAAUUGGAUUUCAGGUAUGCAAUUCUAGUCUACACAUGUAACAUCCUAAAUGACCAUGUUCACGUUAAAGUUUUGAUUUCCAAAUCUGAUGCAACCAAUGAUUUUUAAAAGCACCAGGAUUCUCGCAGCUCUUCUCCAACACAAGGAAUGGUAGAGUCAUUCUUGCUAAUAAGCCCAAGAAGCAGAAGUGGAACAUGGCAAGGCCUCCACUUCUGCACAUUAAAGGGAAACCAUGAAAGAUUUCAAAUGCUAAAAGCACUUGCAGCACGCUUUUCAAUCUAGUGCCUCCAGUACAUUGCACAAUUUAAAAUCUAGCUUUCAAAUUUAUCUACCUCAGAAUCCAACUCAUGGAAUAGGAGAUGGUUCUCGAAAGGAAUGCAACAAUGUGCCGCAGAAGCCUACUUUAGUUCACAUAUAUGCCCAUGAACAACAGUAUCUGGCCAGCAUUUCCCUUUCAGAUCCAUCAGAACCUUUCCCUGUUCAUCAAAAUAUCUAAGACAUCCAACCAAAACCAAGUCAUCGAAGAUGACUCGUACACUUAAACACUCCUUUAGAAUGGAGCUUGAUUCUUAUAAUCUCAACUUAAUCUACAGAAUAUCACACCGCCAAAAGAAAGUGAAGGAAAAAGUUGGAAGGAUUAUCAAAAUUAUUGGAUUAUCCAUUGUCCCCAAUAUAUAUUGAAUGGUUAUCCAUACACAUAACGUAGGCAAUACAAGGCAUAGUAGCCCGACAUAGAUCAAAUGGGAAGGUAUGACCUUUGUCAUCAUCUCUCCCUGCACGGUUGAUACCACCGAGGACUUUGUAUGCCUCUGAAUGCACUGAAUCUACCCGCAAGGAAUAGAUCUUGACCCCUGCUUCCAAAGUGCAGCUUGCCUUCAUCAAAUGAAGAAACAUAAAAAAAAUAAGGAAAAAAAUUAUGAACUGAAAUAAGAACUGACAAAGAUAUAAAACCUUGAUAACCAGAACCUUUUGAAAGUUGGUCUCUGCAUCGUCAUCUGAUUCAACCUUGAUAAUCUCGCUAAGGUGGUCAAUGAGGUUCAGCUCCCAUGUGUUCUUCUGAUUUAUUUUCUGCACAUUGACAAAAAACGAAACGUGAAUAAGAACACAGGACAAAGGGAGAACCCAUUAGACCAAUGCGUUCGAGAAUAGGGGCAUAAAAGGUGAGGAAAUCGUAAGAAUUGUCCCGGCGCAUGGACAAGCAUAUGGCAGCUCGAGCAAUGCUCUUUAAAGUAAAUACGACAAUCAGAUUGCCUCAUGGUGGCACAAGCAGGUGUAGAAGAAAGUAGGGCUGAUCCAUGAAAACUUUAUGAUUGCAUUUACGGGUCAGUUGUUGUACUGAAAUACAAAUACCUUAAAUAAACAGAUAGAAAUAUAAAGAAAGAGCAAGCUAAAUUAAGAUUGAGUUAAGCACGAAGAAAAUGGGUCAGAUUCUAAAGAUCAAAACUAUAGGACUUGAGGAAUGAUGGAAGGGAAUAAAGAAAAGAGGUGAAAAGACAAAAAAAAGUAAAUCCCAACCACUCGUUCUCAGCACCAGCAUUCUUUAACCAAGAAUUAGGCAGAAAAAGUGGGAGAGUUCUCCGCUCUGAUUCUCCUGUAGCUGGAUUCUCCGGAACCACAAGAAUCCUUAUAAAUUUUGGCUUUCAUCAGGGAAGAUGAGGGAUUACGCACAACCAGAGAUGGGGAGUGGAUCCAUUAAUAUCCCAUGAGAAUAAGUCACAUUGAGAUCCCAUGAUACAUUGUAUACUCUGAGGUUAUCGAUAAUACUCAAUGCAUUUGUUCUGAUAUCCUAUCAAAGUAUGGCGUAGCCCAACUCAAAACAAAUUCGGAUCCCUUCAUUUUCCACGUUUACUCAUCAAGCGGUGUGAUUCUCUCUACAUGCUGGAGCUAAGCAGCAAGCACAUGAACUUAACCACAGCCUUUUCUUCUCCCUAAAAAUUCGGUAGUAUUCUAACACAACCCCGAGCAACAAAUGGUUGAGAAAGAAGAACGACGCAUAUGAUUGCUAAAGGUUGGAGGGAAAUUUUGAAAGGUGCAUUAUCAUCGAAGAGCUUGAUCCUGUAAGAAUAAAAAAAGGGUAUGCAUACAGAUAGAUGCUUCUGGAGCAUAAGAGAAAUUUUGAACUAGAAUCAGUGAUAAGAAAAGUCAGGAAAUUUGGAGGCGAAAAUUCUGAAUUCAGUAAGGAAUUUCUACUACAGACAGAGGGAGUAUCCAAGGUCUGAAGAUCAAGCGGCGUUGAAAACACUUGUCCCUGUCAGAAAGCGAUUCAGACAGAACCGGAACAAAAAAACACAAUUACAGACCAGAAGCAAGAAAUCAGGGAUCAUAGCAUGGGAAGAAGACAAAAGAUAAAGAAGAUUGGUUACAUUCUCGCUGGCAAGCUUGAUACAGUUGUGGAAGAGCUCCGUGAUCUGCUCCUUCCCGAGGACGUCCGAUCUCGGGUGAGCGUCGAUGCCAUGGGUAACGGCAACGAUGGGCUUCCGCCUUAUGGCAGCGGCACGGGCAGCCCGGGCCUGGGCGCGCUCGAGCUGGUCGUCGUUGGACCCGAGGAAGUGAAGCGCGUUCUGGUGGACGGCCGCCGACGCCGACACCGGCGACUUGAGCAGCCGCGCCGCCGCCCUUCUCGGCGACAACAAUUGCUCGUCCUCCACCUCGCCGAAGCCCUCCGUCAUGGCCUCGUCGCGGGCGAAAUGGGGCGAGUGCAAGAUCUGAGGCUCCCCUCUCCCUCUCUCUCUCUCUCUCUCUCGCUCUCCCGCUCCCCCCCUCCCCAAACCCAGGGAAGCCCUUCGCGCGACGGGCACACCCCCUUGCCUCUUGUCCCGCCCUGGGAAGUCUUUUGAAUUUCGUGAAGGGACUUUUGCAAAAAGGCCCCUAACCGAAAUAUACAUGGACGGUAGGGACCUUCAGAGGUGCACUUUCACACGCCCCACCGUCUCAAGGGUCAGACAACAAGACUCGAGAUCCCAAGGGAGCCAUCUCGAAAUAUGAAAGAUCCACGCCGCCCAUCCGCGAACCCUCCCGGCUCUAAUGGGCCGGCCCCUCGGCCCGCUUAAGCGCGGGCCCAAUUCACCCCCCAUUAACACUUAAAAAUACCGUUUUUAUAUCCUCUCGAACCAUAUUCCUACAUCGAUUCGUUCAUUCAAAUUCCAUCACGGAGGAACAGACCCAGAAUGGCCACGUCCCGGAGCCGACUGGGCCAAGAAGGAGAUGAGGAGAUCCACGUGGCAGAGCACCCCAAAAGAGAAAAAUAGAGAAAAAAGAAGAAAAAAGGAAAAAAGAAGAAG